CUACAGGCCUAACACAUGCAAGUCGAGGGGAAACGGCAGCUUAGCUUGCUAAGCUGGACGUCGACCGGCGCACGGGUGAGUAACGCGUAUCCAACCUGCCCCACGGUGAGGGAUAACCCGCGGAAACGCGGCCUAAUACCUCAUGGUCUCCGAGCUUGACAUCAACCUUGGAGUAAAGAUUCAUUGCCGUGGGAUGGGGAUGCGUCUGAUUAGCUUGUUGGCGGGGCAACGGCCCACCAAGGCAACGAUCAGUAGGGGUUCUGAGAGGAAAGCCCCCACAUUGGAACUGAGACACGGUCCAAACUCCUACGGGAGGCAGCAGUGAGGAAUAUUGGUCAAUGGGCGAGAGCCUGAACCAGCCAAGUAGCGUGCAGGAUGACGGCCCUAUGGGUUGUAAACUGCUUUUAUGCGGGGAUAAAGCGGGCGACGUGUCGCCCUUUGCAGGUACCGCAUGAAUAAGGACCGGCUAAUUCCGUGCCAGCAGCCGCGGUAAUACGGAAGGUCCGGGCGUUAUCCGGAUUUAUUGGGUUUAAAGGGAGCGCAGGCCGGGUAUUAAGCGUGUUGUGAAAUGUAGGCGCCCAACGUCUGCACCGCAGCGCGAACUGGUGCCCUUGAGUACGCACGACGUUGGCGGAAUUCGCCGUGUAGCGGUGAAAUGCUUAGAUAUGGCGAAGAACUCCGAUUGCGAAGGCAGCUGACGGGAGCGCUACUGACGCUCAUGCUCGAAAGCGCGGGUAUCGAACAGGAUUAGAUACCCUGGUAGUCCGCGCGGUAAACGAUGGAUGCCCGCUAUUUGCGCAUUAGCGCAAGUGGCCAAGUGAAAACGUUAAGCAUCCCACCUGGGGAGUACGCCGGCAACGGUGAAACUCAAAGGAAUUGACGGGGGCCCGCACAAGCGGAGGAACAUGUGGUUUAAUUCGAUGAUACGCGAGGAACCUUACCCGGGCUUGAAUUGCAGAGGAAAGAUCCAGAGAUGGUGAUGCCCUUCGGGGCCUCUGUGAAGGUGCUGCAUGGUUGUCGUCAGCUCGUGCCGUGAGGUGUCGGCUUAAGUGCCAUAACGAGCGCAACCCCUCUCCUUAGUUGCCAUCAGGUCAAGCUGGGCACUCUGGGGACACUGCCACCGUAAGGUGUGAGGAAGGUGGGGAUGACGUCAAAUCAGCACGGCCCUUACGUCCGGGGCUACACACGUGUUACAAUGGCAGGUACAGAGAGAUGGUGCUCUGCAAAGUGCAUCUAAUCCUUAAAGCCUGUCUCAGUUCGGACUGCAGUCUGCAACUCGACUGCACGAAGCUGGAAUCGCUAGUAAUCAAGGAUCAGCAUGCCGCGGUGAAUACGUUCUCGGGC
rnacentral:rRNA from 1 species